CCGAGCGUAGCUCAGUCUGGUAGAGCACUCCGUUUGGGGCGGAGGGGCCGUACGUUCAAAUCGUACUGUUCGGACCA
rnacentral:tRNA from 1 species